ACUGGGGUGGCUCAGUCAGUUGAGUGCCUGACUUCGGCUCAGGUCAUGAUCUUGGUCUGUGGGUUCAAGCCCCACAUCAGGUU
rnacentral:tRNA from 1 species